AACGAAAUAUGUAAAAGUAUUUAGUGGCGUACGGGUGAGUAAUAAAUAGGUGACUUACUCCAUGAACAAUGAUAAUUGAAAUAACUUUCUUGUAAACAUUGAUAAUCUAACAUAUCAUAAGUAUUUGUUAGCAAAGUAAUUAGAUUAGUCAUGGAAUAGGCUUAUUCUAGAUUAGAUAGUUGGUUGGGUAAUGGCUUACCAGGUCUAUGAUCUAUAGCUAUCCUUAAAGGGUGAUUAGCCACACUAGAAUUGAAAUAAGGUCUAGUUUCCUACGGGAAGCAGCAGUUAGGAAUAUUGGGCAAUGAGGGAAACCUUGACCCAGUNAUACCACGUGAGUUAUGAAGGCAUUAACUUGUUGUAAACUCUUUUAUAGUUUGAGAAGUUGACUAAACUAUGAAUAAGUGCCGGCAAAUUUUGUGCCAGCAACCGCGGUGAGACAAAGGCACGAACGUUACUCGGUUUUAAUGGGUUUAAAGGGUGUGUAGGUUUUUUUAUAAGUCAAAUUUAUGGAUACGGCAUAACUGUGGAUAUGGGUUUGAUACUGUAUUAAUUGAGAUUGAUGGAAGUUAAUGGAAUUUCUAGUGUAAAGGUGAAAUUUGUAGAUACUAGAAGGAACACCAGGGGCGAAGGCGAUUAACUAUUUUAAUCUGACACUGAGACACGAAAGCGUGGGGAGUAAAAAGGAUUAGAGACCCUUGUAAUCCACGCUGUAAAAGAUGAGUAUUUGAUAUUGUUAAACUUAGUGUUUAGCUAAUGUCUAAGCAAAAG
rnacentral:rRNA from 1 species